ensembl:processed_transcript
GAAAGCGGCGGCGUUCGCUACAAUAUGAGCUGUUUUGAGCCUCUGAUCUGAUGAACGUGCGUGAGGGGACUGUUAAUGUGCCUUUAAAAAUACGCCCACACUAAUCUCUCCACCCACGGUUAUCGCGCGUGGCACGUUUCUUUGAAACUGAUAAAUGAAGCACAGCUCUGGCGGGCGCUGAAUUGCGCAGAGCAUCAAGCAACUACAGCACAGCUCUCUGCAGAUUUCAUUACAUUCACUGCUUCUAUGAGGCACUGCCCAUUUCUGAACCAUUAGGCGAUGUGUGUGAACCAGAGGAAAGAGCCUCAGGUGAAUAGAGGAUUUGUCAGAGAGGCGUGUGAGCGUGUCUGCUUAAAGCAGUCCUCAGGGUCUUUCCUCUAAGAGUGCCCUCAACAGUCAACAACGUCGAAAGUCGCCUACUUUAAGCGAAAAUAUGCGGAA